GAUUAACGCUGGCGGCGUGCAUAACACAUGCAAGUCGAACGAUGAAACUUAGUCGACUUCUUCGGAAAGACACUAAGCGGCUUAGUGGCGAACGGGUGAGUAACGCGUGAGUAACCUGCCUUACACAAGGGGAUAGCCUUUGGAAACGAAGAAUAAUACCCUAUAAAACUAUAAAAGCACAUGCUAGAAUGGUCAAAGUGCUAGCGGUGUAAGAUGGACUUGCGUCUGAUUAGCUAGUUGGUGAGAUAAAAGCUCACCAAGGCAACGAUCAGUAGCCGGCUUGAGAGAGUGUACGGCCACAUUGGGACUGAGACACGGCCCAGACUCCUACGGGAGGCAGCAGUGGGGAAUUUUGCACAAUGGGGGAAACCCUGAUGCAGCGACGCCGCGUGAUUUAGAAGGCCUUCGGGUUGUAAAAAUCUUUUGUAUAGGAAGAAAAUGACAGUACUAUACGAAUAAAGUCCGGCGAAUUACGU
rnacentral:rRNA from 1 species